rnacentral:lncRNA from 1 species
UUUUGAGAUUUGAAAAAAUACAGCUAACAUGGAUUUUUGUCGAGGGAGGAAAUAGAUAUUAGACUCAAGAGAGUAGAAAAUCGUUUGUUAUGAGGCUCGGGCAAUAUUACAGUAAUUAAUUUACCGUAAUACUACUUUAAGGUAUUACGGUAUUUUAAUUACCAUAAUGAGUAUUACGGUAUUUAAAUUACCGUAAUGUUAUUACGGCAAUUAAAUUACCGUAAUACUACUUUAAGGUAUUACGGUAUUUUAAUUAUCAUAAUAGUCCUUCAACUUAAUACGGUAUUUAAAUUACCGUAAUGUUCAUUACGGUAAAAAACUAUCGUAAAUGGUAUUUUCAUCUACAAAAAGCCAAAAAUUAGGAAAACAGGUGUAGACGAGGUUUUUGAAAGUUGAGGGUUUUUUUUUUUCCCGAUUUUAUUAAAAUAUAGGCAUAUUAGCAAUAAUUUCCCAUUUUUUUUUAAUGUCAUAACAUCAAAA